UACGAAGGGUGCGAGCGUUAUUCGGAAUAACUGGGCGUAAAGAGCGUGUCGGCGGUUUGUUAAGUCAACUGUAAAAGAGCUCGGCUUAACCGAGUAAAUGCGGGUGAAACUGGCGAACUAGAGUACGGGAGAGAAAGGUAGAAUUCUCGGAGUAGCGGUAAAAUGCGUAGAUCUCGAGAGGAAUACCGGUUGCGAAGGCGGCCUUUUGGCCCGUAACUGACGCUUAAGCGCGAAAGCGUGGGGAGCAAACAGG
rnacentral:rRNA from 1 species